UACGUAGGGUGCGAGCGUUGUCCGGAAUUAUUGGGCGUAAAGAGCUCGUAGGCGGUGUGUCGCGUCGGCCGUGAAAACCUGCAGCUUAACUGUGGGCUUGCGGUCGAUACGGGCAUCACUGGAGUUCGGGCAGGGGAGACUGGAAUUCCUGGUGUAGCGGUGAAAUGCGCAGAUAUCAGGGAGGGAACACCGGUGGCGAAGGCGGGUCUCUGGGCCGAUAACUGAC
rnacentral:rRNA from 1 species